AAGGUCAUCACAACCGCAAGCUAGCACAUCACAAGAACAACAAGAACAACCACGAACAAAAGUUGCAGCAUGCCAAACAGAUCCUCCUUGUGUGGCAUCUCGCGGGACGCAGCUUUCUUUUACUACAUUGAGACCUCACCAACGAAGCAAAGGCAUACAGGCAACGCCGCAAUGCCAAAGUGUGGCAGUAGGCACAACGGCUCCUUCAGUCUCUGGGCCAUUCUCUUCAACUCCUUUGAAGGGUCAGAGGCCAGCAAAGAGACCUCGCCUUGAAUUUGAGGAGGAGGUGGAAGAUGUUUCCUCUGCAUGCACUGAUCCUCAAGAUUCCACAUA